rfam:Clostridium baratii str. Sullivan, complete genome.
UAAUAUUCUCGGUAGGUGAGGCUACCAUAGGGAUACGGGUUGCUGCCGCGAAAUAGUGGAGACACUAUUAGAUGGUCAACAGAAUAUGUCGAAGUUAAGGCUUAUUUUAAUGCAAUUUCAUUGCCCUACGGAGUUGAAGCUUGAACGGGCAGUUUAA